AAUCAACGCUGGCGGCGUGCCUAACACAUGCAAGUCGAACGCGAAAGUGGAGCAAUCCAUGAGUAGAGUGGCAAACGGGUGAGUAACACGUGGGUGACCUGCCUUCGAGUGGGGGAUAACGUCCCGAAAGGGACGCUAAUACCGCAUAAUAUGCUGUCUUUUAAGAGAGAGACAUCAAAGCCGGGGACCGUAAGGCCUGGCGUUUGAAGAGGGGCCCGCGCCUGAUUAGCUAGUUGGUGGGGUAAUGGCUCACCAAGGCAACGAUCAGUAUCCGGCCUGAGAGGGCGGACGGACACACUGGGACUGAGACACGGCCCAGACUCCUACGGGAGGCAGCAGUGGGGAAUUGUUCGCAAUGGGCGCAAGCCUGACGACGCAACGCCGCGUGGAGGAUGAAGAUCUUCGGGUCGUAAACUCCUUUCGAUCGAGACGAAUGGCCCUUGGGAUAAUACCCUGAGGGAGUGACGGUACCGAGAGAAGAAGCCCCGGCUAACUCCGUGCCAG
rnacentral:rRNA from 1 species